GAUCUGGUUCAGGAUGAACGCUGGCGGCGUGCCUAAUACAUGCAAGUCGAACGCAUUACUUCGGUAGUGAGUGGCGAACGGGUGAGUAACACGUAGGUAACUUACCUCUAAGACGAGGAUAACGACUGGAAACGGUCGCUAAAACUGGAUAGGAUCAUUUUGAGGCAUCUCGAAUGAUUUAAAGGGGCUUUCAAGCCACACUUAGAGAAAGGCCUGCGGCGCAUUAGCUAGUUGGUGGGGUAGAGGCCUACCAAGGCGAUGAUGCGUAGCCGGACUGAGAGGUCGAACGGCCACAUUGGGACUGAGACACGGCCCAAACUCCUACGGGAGGCAGCAGUAGGGAAUUUUCGGCAAUGGGCGAAAGUCUGACGGAGCAACGCCGCGUGAGUGAAGAAAAGGUUUUCGGAUCGUAAAACUCUGUUGUCAGAGAAGAACAAGUUGGAGAGUAACUGCUCCAGCCUUGACGGUAUCUGACCAGAAAGCCACGGCUAACUACGUGCCAGCCGCUGC
rnacentral:rRNA from 1 species